GCCCGGCUAGCUCAAUCGGUAGAGCGUGAGACUCUUAUGAGGGUUUCAGGUCUCUGAAACAUCCCUCUUGGGAUCAUCUCAAGGUUGUGGGUUCGACCCCCACGUCGGGCU